rnacentral:rRNA from 16 species
UUCCUUGUCGGGUAAGUUCCGACGCGCAUGAAUAGUGUAACGACUUGGGCACUGUCUCCACAACCGACUCGGUGAAAUAGUAGUGGCGGUGUAGAUGCCGCCUACCCGCGGCAAGACGGAAAGACCCCGUGGACCUUUACUGUAGGCUUUUAUUGGUCACGAGCGAUCGCUGCGUAGGAUAGGUGGGAGGCUUUGAAGCCGGUGUUUAGGCACUGGUGGAGCCAUUGGUGAAAUACCACCCUUCGUUUGUUUGUGGCCUAACCCCGAUUCCCAUGAACCUGGGCGGGGGACAGUGAGUGCUUGUCAGUUUGACUGGGGCGGUCUCCUC